CAGGGGGCGAGGGUGGCAGAUGGCUUCAUGUGGGCGUGAGUGAGGAGGGGGGCAGAUGGGAGGGGCAGUGACCCUGGGCCCAGCAGAGAUCCAGGGAAGUGGCCUGGGAGGUAGGUCCCCAACUCUUCCUUCCCCCCGUCUUCACAGCCAUUUUCCAGGGAUGCCCAUUCCUGCUGGGGUAGCCAGCUGUGACCAGGUCAGUGUGGAAAGUGAGCCCUGGGAGACCUGAGGCCUGAGGCCCUGGGCUUCCGCUUGACCUGGCUGGGUCAGCCGUGGGAGGCAGAGCCUGGCUCUGUUUAUCCAGGCCGGACACUUCCGGAGCAGAUGGGCGCCUGUCAGAGCCACCAGCCAGGAACUGGGCUGACGUCCUCUCAUUGCCAAGUGGCAGUUCUGGGGCCAGCAUUGAACGCAAGGUGUCAGCAAGUCUCCUGCCAGAGGUCCUGACGGAGGGGCUGUUCCAGGCCAUGCUCCUGGCUUCCGGUGGUUGCCGGCAACCCUGUGCAUUCCCUGCUUGUAGAGAUGAGAAAAUGGAGGUACCAAAAAGUGGGCUCUGAACUGCAGAGCCUGGCUCCAGAGCCCUUGUAUUUGACUACUGGGAUCCACCGUUAUUCUCACAGCCGCGUUUCCCACAGGGCUGCUUUGUAUGGCCUCUUAGAAAAGUCCUGCCUGUCUCCACCAUCCAGGGCCUCAGCGGCACCUGUCCUGAGUCAGCAUCUCACAGAGGUUUUGCCAGCGCCAGCCACAUCUCCAGCAUGAAGGUGAUUGUCUGAGUGUGUCCAGUCCAGUUCCUGCCUUAAUAAAAAUCACUGCUGCAAGGGAGAGGGCUGCCAAGGCCCUGCCUCCCUCCAACCCCAUCCUAGCCUGAGUCUUAACCAUUCUUCCAAUCCAGUUCCACUUUGGGCCAGUGCUUAACCCAGGGUAGCACUUUUGAGCCUCGCAACUCUUGGGAGUGAGUUUUCAUCCUAACGUUCUCAGAUGAGGAAAUUGGGCCUCAAAGAGUCCACACAGGUGAGGCACCAUGGCUCAUGCCUAUAAUCCUAACACUUUGGGAGGCCAAGGCAGGAGGAAUGCUUGAGCCCAGGAGUUCAAGACCAGCCUGGGCAACAUGGUGACACCCUGUCUCUAUAAAAAAAUACAACAAUUAGGCAAACGUGGUGGCAUGCACCUGUCAUCCCAGCUACCUGGGAGGCUGAGGUGGGAGGAUUGCUUGAGCCCAGGAGGCUGAGGCUGCAGUGAGCCAUGAUCCUGCCAGUACACUCCAGCCUGGGUGACAGAACAAGACCCUGUCUCAAAAACAAAACAAAACAAAAACAAAAACAAAGCAUCCACACAACUAGCAGGUGAAAAACUGGGGUUCAAACUCAGGCCUAUAACACUAAGGGCUGGGCCUGUCCCCACCAAAUCAGUCUUUCCUCAGACAGGCUGAGGUGUCCUCUAUAGACCAAAUAUCUGGAGGUCAGAACACUGAGACACUAGUUAUGUAAAGGCAGGGUGUGAGUUGGUGAGCUCAUCGAGAAAAUGCUUCCUGGGCUGGGUGCAGUGGCUCACACCUGUAAUCCCAGCACUUUGGGAGGCUGAGGUGGACAGAUCACCUCAAGUCAGGAGUUCAAGACCAGCCUGGCCAACAUGCUGAAACUCUGUCUCUACUAAAAAAUACAAAAAUUUGCCAAGCGCAGUGGCACAUGCCUGUAAUACUAGCUCCUCGGGAGGCUGAGGCAGGAGAACCGCUUGAACCCAGGAGGCAGAGGUUGCAGUGAGCCAAGAUUGCACCACUGAACUCUAGCCUGGGUGACAGAGCAAAACUCUGUCUCAAAAAAAAAAAAAGAAAAGAGAAAAAAGAAAGAGAGAGAAAGAAAGAGAGAGAGAAAGAGAAAGAAA
rnacentral:lncRNA from 1 species